UACGUAGGCAGCGAGCGUUGUCCGGAUUUCUUGGGCGUAAAGAGCGUGUAGGCGGCUAGGUAGGUCCGUUGUGAAAACUCGAGGCUCAACCUCGAGACGCCGGUGGAAACCAUCUAGCUAGAGUCCGGAAGAGGAGAGUGGAAUUCCUGGUGUAGCGGUGAAAUGCGCAGAUAUCAGGAAGAACACCCGUGGCGAAGGCGGCUCUCUGGGACGUGACUGACGCUGAGACGCGAAAGCGUGGGGAGCGAACAGG
rnacentral:rRNA from 1 species